UGGCGCGCCGCGCCGAUGGUUGCCACUCACUCUCGGAUGAGUAAGGGGGCUGUCCCGCGCGGGCGCUGAAGCCUCAUUCCGGAGAGGCAGCCGGAGGAGUGGUCCCGGUGGAUUCUUCUACCCCAGUCCCACAGUGCUGGGUACAACCUAUCCACACAGAGGAAAAUACUGAUGGGCCUUCCUUGUCACAUGGUGAUGGUGACUGGAAUCACAGAAAUGGUGUCUAGAAGAAAAUAGAGGGCAAGAUGGAGUCACUUACAUCAAGCAGUGACUCAUGUCAGGCAACCAAGAGCUAAGACCAGAUGAUGCUGAAACCAGCACAGACUGAUGAUGCCCAGAACUGAUGACCAGCAGAACCUGAAGAGGCCUCGAAUGGCCCAAGGCUGAUUAAACUCCUUUAAAAAGGGGUGACUUUUGCAGCAAACUGUCAGACUCUCCAGACACUAACCCUUUCCCAUCUGACCACACUGAAAAGGCAACUGGUGCCAAAGCUCUGGCUGACUGGUCUCUGAGCAUAGCAGAGAUCCUCCACUGCUAGAAUAUAAUAAGCAGUAUGCACGGAGAGCUGACCAGACCAGACUGAGGCCUCAUCUCUACUAUGCAUUCAUAGAUGGACUUUGAGUUGGGUUUCUCAACUUCUCACCUCUUGCUGUAUCUUGUUUGUAGUGUGCUUUACUUUGUGUGAUAUGUAUGAAACCAAGUUAAAUGUGUAACAAAAUGGCAUUGAGUUUGGAAUCUUGGACCUGCUUUACAAUUAUGUUAGCCUUGUUUUGUGAUUGAAUAAAGCUAACACUGUGGAAAGACACAACUCAUGUCUGUGCACUCAUAAUGUGCUUGUGACAAACAUAUAUAUAAAUAAAAUAGAGAUUAAGCAAAUGUUAAUAAUUAAAAAUUUUUUAAUCUACGUGGAGGGUGUAUAGGUAUUGUACUAUUUUUUCACCUUUCCUGUAUGUUUGAAAUUUUUCAAAAUAAAAAUGGAAAUAAAGGCU